CGAUGAACCACUUCGGUGGGGAUUAGUGGCGAACGGGUGAGUAACACGUGGGCAAUCUGCCCUGCACUCUGGGACAAGCCCUGGAAACGGGGUCUAAUACCGGAUACUGACCAUCUUGGGCAUCUUUGAUGGUCGAAAGCUCCGGCGGUGCAGGAUGAGCCCGCGGCCUAUCAGCUAGUUGGUGAGGUAAUGGCUCACCAAGGCGACGACGGGUAGCCGGCCUGAGAGGGCGACCGGCCACACUGGGACUGAGACACGGCCCAGACUCCUACGGGAGGCAGCAGUGGGGAAUAUUGCACAAUGGGCGAAAGCCUGAUGCAGCGACGCCGCGUGAGGGAUGACGGCCUUCGGGUUGUAAACCUCUUUCAGCAGGGAAGAAGCGAAAGUGACGGUACCUGCAGAAGAAGCGCCGGCUAACUACGUGCCAGCAGCCGCGGUAAUACGUAGGGCGCAAGCGUUGUCCGGAAUUAUUGGGCGUAAAGAGCUCGUAGGCGGCUUGUCACGUCGGUUGUGAAAGCCCGGGGCUUAACCCCGGGUCUGCAGUCGAUACGGGCAGGCUAGAGUUCGGUAGGGGAGAUCGGAAUUCCUGGUGUAGCGGUGAAAUGCGCAGAUAUCAGGAGGAACACCGGUGGCGAAGGCGGAUCUCUGGGCCGAUACUGACGCUGAGGAGCGAAAGCGUGGGGAGCGAACAGGAUUAGAUACCCUGGUAGUCCACGCCGUAAACGGUGGGCACUAGGUGUGGGCAACAUUCCACGUUGUCCGUGCCGC
rnacentral:rRNA from 1 species